rnacentral:tRNA from 1 species
GCGAAUGUGGCGAAAUUUGGUAUACGCGCUUGUCUUAGAAGCAGGUGUCCUAGUGGCGUGUGGGUUCGAUCCCCUCCAUUCGCA